UACGGAGGGUGCAAGCGUUAUCCGGAUUCACUGGGUUUAAAGGGUGCGUAGGUGGGUUGGUAAGUCAGUGGUGAAAUCUCCGUGCUUAACAUGGAAACUGCCAUUGAUACUACUGAUCUUGAAUUUUCUGGAGGUAAGCGGAAUAUGUCAUGUAGCGGUGAAAUGCUUAGAUAUGACAUGAGAACACCAAUUGCGAAGGCAGCUUACUACAGGAAUAUUGACACUGAUGCACGAAAGCGUGGGGAUCAAACAGG
rnacentral:rRNA from 1 species